rnacentral:rRNA from 1 species
GCAUAACGCGAAGAACCUUACCAGGGCUUGACAUCCCUCGGACCGGAUUAGAGAUAAUCCUUUCCCUUCGGGGACUGAGGUGACAGGUGGUGCAUGGUUGUCGUCAGCUCGUGUCGUGAGAUGUUGGGUUAAGUCCCGCAACGAGCGCAACCCUUGCCUUUAGUUGCUAACAGUUCGGCUGAGCACUCUAGAGGGACUGCCGAUGAUAAAUCGGAGGAAGGUGGGGAUGACGUCAAAUCAUCAUGCCCUUUAUGUCCUGGGCUACACACGUGCUACAAUGGUCGGUACAACGAGUAGCUACUUAGCGAUAAGUUGCCAAUCUCUUAAAGCCGAUCCCAGUUCGGAUUGCAGGCUGCAACUCGCCUGCAUGAAGUCGGAGUUGCUAGUAAUCGCGAAUCAGAAUGUCGCGGUGAAUGCGUUCCCGGGUCUUGUACACACCG